UUAAUUAAGAGGAGUUAGUAAUUUUCAAAAAAUUAUUUUUUGGAUUUUUGUGUAAGAAAAUGUAUUAAAUCGGAUGGCGCAAUUAUGUCAGGAUCCCGUAAUUUGAAUUCAAGUAUUUAUUAUCGUGCCUGCUACAGCCAAAUCCGUCGCAAGAACCCGCGAAGUGUUUAUCGAGCGUCUCUAAACACGUAUCCUCUCCUGAGCGUCUCUUGUUGCGUCUCUCGUCCGUAUAACUCGUUUGGCCUCGAAAAAGUGAAAGUGUUUUGUGUUGCUAGGUGCAUCGUAACCCUGGAUCCUUAUGCAGACAACGGUGCUUUGACACCGCUAAUUGGUGAAAAACGGGUGGUGGUGGUAAAUAUUAUCGCCAUCACCCGUUUUUGACCAAUUAGCGCUCGGUGUCAAAGCGCCGUUGUCUGCAUGAGGAUCCAGGGUAACCCUAGCGUCACUUGCUUUCCUUUCCUUGGCAUUCCUUUCGGUAUUGCGUCAUACUCCCACGAGUGCCCUAGUAUGGCCUUUGGGAAGGAAUAUCCCGAAUUUUCUUACAUUUGUAAUUUCUGAAAGUAUAACAUCUCGAGAAUAUCUCAUUAAAUUUUCAAGUCGAUCCGACUAAAACUGUCAAAGUGGCAAAGUCACAAAGGUCAGUCUCUCAACGCUGUUAGGAAGGAGCAGCUAUCAGCAGCUGCUCUCUCACUGACUAAUAUUUUAGAGACGGCUAUGGAAGACGAAGAUGUGCUAUAUGGGCCUAAAAUUGAUGACUCUGCAUAUCGAAGUUUUCUCGCAAGGCUUUAAUUGACAACGAGCCAGAAGAUGAAAUAACAAAGUCCGUGUCUCGAGCAAUGCAAACCUGUUGCCGAUGUACAUUCUCGGGCCUAAUCCAAAUGAGUGAUAAUAUAUUGUAGUGAUUUUGUAUUAAAGCAAAUUAUUCGGUUUAGCAGCGCCAAGUUUUUUGUAAUAAAAUAUUUAUUCGUAUUAAAGUA